UUAAAUUGAAGAGUUUGAUCAUGGCUCAGAUUGAACGCUGGCGGCAGGCCUAACACAUGCAAGUCGAGCGGCAGCGGAAAAGUAGCUUGCUACUUUUGCCGGCGAGCGGCGGACGG
rnacentral:rRNA from 1 species